UACGUAGGGGGCAAGCGUUGUCCGGAUUUAUUGGGCGUAAAGAGCUCGUAGGCGGUUUGUCGCGUCUGCUGUGAAAACCCGAGGCUCAACCUCGGGCCUGCAGUGGGUACGGGCAGACUAGAGUGCGGUAGGGGAGAUUGGAAUUCCUGGUGUAGCGGUGGAAUGCGGCAGAUAUCAGGAGGAACACCGAUGGCGAAGGCAGAUCUCUGGGCCGUAACUGACGCUGAGGAGCGAAAGCAUGGGAGCGAACAGG
rnacentral:rRNA from 1 species